UACGAAGGGGGCUAGCGUUGUUCGGAAUUACUGGGCGUAAAGCGCGCGCAGGCGGUCCUUUAAGUCGGGGGUGAAAGCCCAGAGCUCAACUCUGGAACUGCCUUCGAAACUAGAGGACUUGGGUACGGGAGAGGUGAGUGGAAUUCCGGAGUGUAGAGGUGAAAUUCGUAGAUAUUCGGAAGAACACCAGUGGCGAAGGGCGCUCACUGGCCCGUUACCGACGGCUCAGGCGCGACAGCGAUGGG
rnacentral:rRNA from 1 species